UGUUGCUUCCAGGGAAGGAAAGGGAUGAGGCAGUGGGGAGGUUGCUAUGGUGCAAACUCACUGGCAGUAGUACCAACUUGGCUCUGCUAUUGUGUUUGCACAGUACUGACCUCUCCACUGCCUUGUCCCUUCCCCUCUUUCCUAGUUUGC